AUUGAACGCUGGCGGCAGGCCUAACACAUGCAAGUCGAACGAGUGGCGGACGGGUGAGUAAUGUCUGGGAAACUGCCUGAUGGAGGGGGAUAACUACUGGAAACGGUAGCUAAUACCGCAUACCAUCGGAUGUGCCCAGAUGGGAUUAGCUAGUAGGUGGGGUAAAGGCUCACCUAGGCGACGAUCCCUAGCUGGUCUGAGAGGAUGACCAGCCACACUGGAACUGAGACACGGUCCAUACUCCCACGGGAGGCAGCAGUGGGAAAUAUUGCACAAUGGGUGAAAGCCUGAUGCAGCCAUGCCGCGUGGAUGAAGAAGGCCUUCGGGUUGUAAAGUACUUUCAGCGGAGAGGCGUUCCCCGCAGAAGAAGCCCCGGCUAACUCCGUGCCAGCAGCCGCGGUAAUAC
rnacentral:rRNA from 1 species